UUGUUUAUAGUGCACAACAUGCGCUUUAUACAUUAUAAAGGGAUCAAAUCAUAUUUUAUUUGUUACAUGCAAAUGGAAAAAAAUAUGACUAAAACUCUUAAAUUUAUUUAUGUUAUGAUUUUAUUUCUCUCCCUAUUUCUUGUUGCAGAAAGUUUUUUCGUGGAUAUUAUGUGUAAGGUUCAUGAAGAUUGUCCACAAAAAUCAACUCACAAGUAUUACUGCGUUGACGAUAAAUGUUUUUUGUAUUACUGGGAAGGCAAGCCUUGAUUUAGUUAUACUAGAGUGACACAAUAAAUUGCAUGAGUAUCAUACUUUAGAAAGUAUACUUAUGCUAUAUGGGGAUUAAUAAUGUGUUCUUACACUAUAAAAAUGCUACGCAAUGUAACUUUUGCUUGAUUAUUUUACGGUUUCCAUUCAUCUACUAUGAUCAUGGAGCCCAAUAAUUAUAUCUUUUAUUUGUUUAUUUAUGUUGUAAUUUAUGGACAUUGCAAUUAAUUAUGGCUUAUUUUUAGCA